CAAUCCUACGGGACGCAGCAGUCGGGAAUAUUGCGCAAUGGAGGAAACUCUGACGCAGUGACGCCGCGUAUAGGAAGAAGGUUUUCGGAUUGUAAACUAUUGUCGUGAGGGAAGAAAUUGACAGUACCUCAGGAGGAAGCUCCGGCUAACUAUGUGCCAGCAGCCGCGGUAAUACAUAAGGAGCAAGCGUUAUCCGGAUUUAUUGGGGGGAAAGGGUGCGUAGAAGGGAAAUUAAGUUAGUUGUGAAAUCCCUCGGCUUAACUGAGGAACUGAAACUAAAACUGAUUUUCUUGAGUACUGGAGAG
rnacentral:rRNA from 1 species